rnacentral:rRNA from 1 species
GACGUAGGGCGCAAGCGUUGUCCGGAUUUAUUGGGCGUAAAAGAGCUCGUAGGCGGCUUGCCACGUCUGCCGUGAAAACCAGCAGACUUAACUGUUGGCUUGCGGUGGAUACGGGCAGGCUGGAGGCUGGUAGGGGCAAGCGGAAGUUCCUGGUGAUAGCGGUGAAAUGCGCAGAUAUCGAGGAGGAACACCGGUGGCGAAGGCGGCUUGGCUGGGCCAGCACUGACGCUCAUGCACGAAAGCCGUGGGGAGCAAACAGG